rnacentral:rRNA from 1 species
CCUACGGGUGGCUGCAGUGGGGAAUAUUGCACAAUGGGGGAAACCCUGAUGCAGCAACGCCGCGUGAGUGAAGAAGUAUUUCGGUAUGUAAAGCUCUAUCAGCAGGGAAGAAGAUGACGGUACCUGAGUAAGAAGCCCCGGCUAACUACGUGCCAGCAGCCGCGGUAAUACGUAGGGGGCAAGCGUUAUCCGGAUUUACUGGGUGUAAAGGGAGCGUAGACGGUGAGACAAGUCUGAAGUGAAAGCCCGGGGCUCAACCCCGGGACUGCUUUGGAAACUGCCUGACUGGAGUGCUGGAGAGGCAAGCGGAAUUCCUAGUGUAGCGGUGAAAGGCGUAGAUAUAUGGAAGAACACCAGUGGCGAAAGCGGCUCUCUGGUCUGUAACUGACGCUGAGGUUCGAAAGCGUGGGUAGCAAACAGGAUUAGAUACCCGAGUAGUC